rnacentral:rRNA from 1 species
AGGAACGCGAGCGUCGGCGAAUCGACGGCCUCGACGUGCAGCACCUUCGCGCGCACCUUCGACCAGAUCGCCAUCACCUCGUCGAGCCGGUACAGCAGCGGGCCGCGCAGCUUAUGCGCGGGAUCCGCGAGCAGCCGGUACCGGCCGUCCGCGUCGCGGGUCGACCAAUGCGCGGCGAGAAACGCCGCGCGGCGCGGCUCGAGGCGCGGAUUCGUCUUCACGAGGCGCGCGGCGACGUCUUCGAGCGACGCGUAGCGCUUGAGCUCCGGCGGCGCGCGCAGCUCGUCGAGCCACUGCGCGAGACGCCGCGGCGCCUGCUCGGCGCGCGCCGGCGCGAGCCCGAAGCCCUCCAGAUCGACGACGCGCCGCACCCGCUGCGGCCGCGCGCCCGCAUAGAGGCACACGACGUUCGCGCCCAUGCUGUGGCCGACGAGAUUCACUUCGCCAUCGGGCGUGUAGUGGUCGAUCAGCGCCUCGAGGUCCGCCAGGUAUUCGUGGAACCAGUAAUGGCCGCCGCCUUGCGCGGCGACCGGCCAGUCGGACAGGCCGAAGCCGCGUGCGUCGGGCGCGAUCACCUGCCAGUCGCCCGCGAGCGCGUCGACGACGAACUGGAACGACGCGGCGACGUCCAUCCAGCCGUGCAGCAUGUAGAGCGUCGGCGCAUCGGGCCGCCCCCAGCGGCGCACAUGCAGCUUCACGCCGCGAACCGUGACGAAAUCGGAGACAGAUUGGGUGGAGUGCAUCGCAGCCGCCAAAAAAAGAAUGACCGUUCGAUUAUAUCGAUCCAGCCCAUCCGGCGCGGAGCGAGCCGCGAUGCCGCACGCGUGUCGAGGCACUUCUCUAGGCGCGGCCCGCGCGAACGAAGCGCGGCCACGGUCCGGCACGCGGCGCGCCCGCCUCAUCCGUUCGGGUCGGCGUCCUGCGCGACGAGCGCGUUCAAUUCGUCGUCGUUGAAGCCCGCGGCGCGCCGCGCGUCGAAAUUGAACGGCCCGCGCAGCCGGGGCGCCCGAUACUGUCCGGCGAGCCGUUCGUAAGUCGGAUGCGGAUCGAGCCCGGCCGCAUCGCACAGAUGGCGAAACCAGCGAUUGCCGAUCCAUACGUGGCCGAUCUCGUCGCGCAGGAUCACGUCGAGAAUCGCCGCCGACGCAUGAUCGCCCGCCUGCUGCAGCCGCGCGCGGAUCGGCGGCGACGCGUCGAGCCCGCGCGCCUCCAGCGUGCGCGGCACGAGCGCCAUCCUCGCGAGCACGUCGCCCGCGGUCCGCUCGCACAUUUCCCAGAGGCCGUCGUGCGCCGGAAAAUCGCCGUACGCGUGCCCGAACUCGGCAAGGCGCGCGGCGAGCAGCGAGAAGUGAUGCGCCUCCUCCGCGGCCACUUUCAGCCAGUCCGCAUAGAACGCCGUGGGCAUCCGCGCGAAGCGCCACACCGCGUCGAGCGCGAGAUUGAUCGCGUUGAAUUCGAUGUGCGCGAGCG